UAAAUACGUCGCCUUACAACCGUGUGUUACACACGUCGUCACUAAGUACGUCGCCUUACAUCCGUGUGAUACACACGUCGUCACUAAAUACGUCGCCUUACAACCGUGUGACACUCACUUUGUCACUAAGUACGUCGCCUUACAACCAUGUGAAAAUGGUUGUAUUAGGCCUACAGUUACUUAUAAAAUUAAUCAUUGAAGUAUUAGAGCUGUAAUGUAAUGGACAUGAAGGACAUGAAGGUCAUUGUCAGCACAGAUCAUCUUCAAGCUCCACUGAACCCCCUGUGAGAGAGAGGGGGGGGGGGGUAGACAAACCUACACAUCUGUAAAGAUUCAUCCAGGUCAUGUUUAUCCAAGAAAUGUUGACUCGGGAGCAUCUGGACGUUUCUUGUAAAAGGCUACAGGUUUGAUUGAGAAAGUUAUGGAUUGUUAAAUUUUGGAACUUCAUUAACAGCUUUUGCUGCUGAUGUUGGCAUCAGUUACUGUAUAAGUUGUUAUUGAAUGUUUUUAUUUCUCAAACAGUUCUCACACACAGGAACUCUGAUGAUGAUGUGAUAUUAAUUUGUACAAAGUAAUUAUGUAAUUAGAGUAAAUAAUAUCCAGUAAGAAUUGAGUGUUCACCAAUAUUGUGCAUUCAGCCACUAUGAUGUAUUAAUGGGGGUAAAUAAACCUGAAUUGUGAAAUCUGA